GAGAGCUUGCUCUCAUGAAGUUAGCGGCGGACGGGUGAGUAACACGUGGGUAACCUGCCCAUAAGACUGGGAUAACUCCGGGAAACCGGGGCUAAUACCGGAUAACAUUUUGAACUGCAUGGUUCGAAAUUGAAAGGCGGCUUCGGCUGUCACUUAUGGAUGGACCCGCGUCGCAUUAGCUAGUUGGUGAGGUAACGGCUCACCAAGGCAACGAUGCGUAGCCGACCUGAGAGGGUGAUCGGCCACACUGGGACUGAGACACGGCCCAGACUCCUACGGGAGGCAGCAGUAGGGAAUCUUCCGCAAUGGACGAAAGUCUGACGGAGCAACGCCGCGUGAGUGAUGAAGGCUUUCGGGUCGUAAAACUCUGUUGUUAGGGAAGAACAAGUGCUAGUUGAAUAAGCUGGCACCUUGACGGUACCUAACCAGAAAGCCACGGCUAACUACGUGCCAGCAGCCGCGGUAAUACGUAGGUGGCAAGCGUUAUCCGGAAUUAUUGGGCGUAAAGCGCGCGCAGGUGGUUUCUUAAGUCUGAUGUGAAAGCCCACGGCUCAACCGUGGAGGGUCAUUGGAAACUGGGAGACUUGAGUGCAGAAGAGGAAAGUGGAAUUCCAUGUGUAGCGGUGAAAUGCGUAGAGAUAUGGAGGAACACCAGUGGCGAAGGCGACUUUCUGGUCUGUAACUGACACUGAGGCGCGAAAGCGUGG
rnacentral:rRNA from 1 species